AAGAGUAGAGAAACAAAUCUAAGCUGCUAACUUAAGAUUUAGGCGGUUUGACUCCGUCUUACUCUUU
rnacentral:tRNA from 1 species